CCCUUAGAUGUUCUGGGCCGCACGCGCGCUACACUGAUGCAUUCAACGAGCCUAUCCUUGACCGACAGGUCCGGGUAAUCUUUGAAUCUGCAUCGUGACGGGGAUAGAUUAUUGCAAUUAUUAAUCUUCAACGAGGAAUGCCUAGUAGGCGCAAGUCAUCAGCUUGCGUCGAUUACGUCCCUGCCCUUUGUACACACCGCCCGUCGCUCCUACCGAUUGGGUGUGCUGGUGAAAUGUUCGGAUCGGCCGUUUGUCGCGGUUUCCGCGUCAUGUGGCUGAGAAGUGCAUUAAACCCUCCCACCUAGAGGAAGGAGAAGUCGUAACA
rnacentral:rRNA from 1 species